GGGAUGUUCUGUGAUGCUGCGGGACGUGUUACGUUCCUCCAGCUCCACUGUUGUUUCUGACAAGAAGAUCCCGAUGUUUAUGCUGUAGAAGCUGGAAGCGAAGUCCUGCUCGCUAUUGAACCCCUUUAUGCCCCAACGAAACACAGAAAUGAAUUUUCUCACCCAACAGAUUCUCUGAAGAAAGACUGAGACUGGAUUGGGAUCAUUUCUCGUUUAAUCCGAUCGCGGAGAGCAGACCGUAUCUGAUGCCGAUUUGCGGGAUCUGGGUGGUUCUGGUCGUUCCGCUGCUCCUUUCGUGGAAUCUGAGCUCAGCGGCUGCAGGUUCAAUAAAUGUGAACGGUCACCAGAUUUUGAGAUCCGUAGGCGAAGAUACCCUGCUGCUGUGUACAAUUAAUACCGGGAAAACUAUCUCACAAUUCAUGUGGCGACACAGGCAUGGUCAAAAACAACAGAACUUUUUCACAGCAGUUUUCAUAAAUGGAAAGAAUGAAAAGUUUGAUUAUACAUUUGAUGGCAGAAUGACCUACAUUGGGCAAAGUUCCAAAAAUGCAUCAAUGUAUUUGAGAAAUAUUACACUAAGUGAUGAGGGGACAUACAGCUGUAUUUUCACCUUAUUCCCUGAUGGGCCUGUUGAAGCGGAUAUACAGCUGAUCGUAACAGCUCCUCCGGCUGUUACAAUCCAAACGUAUCCAGUUUUUUCUCUGAUUGACUGCAGUAAACGCCUCAUUGUCACCUGUACAGCAGCAAAUGCGAAGCCAGCUGCAGGUAUCACUUGGGAAGCUCCUUUCAAUCUACGUGCCAAUCAAAGUAUUGGGCAUCCUGCUGCGAAUGGGACUGUGACCGUCUCUAGCCAGUUUCAUCUGUGUCCAAAUAAAUCACUUCAUGGGCAGAAUAUUGUCUGUGUUGUGCAACAUCCAGCCCUCCACGCUUCAAAACGAGUUCCUUAUCGCCUGAAUAUUGACUNCAUGUCAUCAGUUUUAAUUAAAUCUCAGAAGAAUGAAGAUGGCUACUUAUACCUGAUUUGUGCUGCAGACGCUAACCCACCUCCUACUGAAUAUAUCUGGACAAAGCCUAAUGACUCUAUUCCGGAAGGUGUGAUAAUACAACACAACCAAAUUAAAUUGUCUAAGUUGACCCCAGAACUGUAUGGGUAUUAUACUUGUGCAGCAAGCAACACAGCUGGGACUGCAUCAGGCUCCAUAUAUUUGUUUCCAAUUGCAGACGAUCAGCAGCCACGUCAUUACAUGGUGCCCUUUAUCAUCAUAAUCCUGAUACUCGUAAUUCUGCUUAGCACUUUAGGCUAUCUUUAUCAAAGACUAAGAAAGAAAAAUCAACAAAGAAACAUUGGCAAAGAAACUUCCUCAAAAAUGAUGCCUUCACGAAGUUCCCGUGACUCCAAAACAGAACAUGUUGAGGUAGAAGAGGAAGAGGAAGUGGAAGCGGAGGAAAAUGAACCAGAUGUUCACUCAACAUGAUGAUAGAAUUAACCGGAGCCUGGAUGGGACUGGAAACAAGAGCAUGGAUCUAACUGUAAACCAAACCAAUAUUAUCGUCCAAUAAAAGGGAACGGUGACCAGAUUUUGAGAUUCGUAGGCGAUGAUACCCUGCUUCCAUGUACAAUUAACACCGAGAAAACUAUCUCACAAUUCAUGUGGCGACAGUCGUGGUCAACAACAACGGAACUUUUUCACAGCAGUUUUCAUAAAUGGAAAGAAUGAAAACUUUGAUUAUACAUUUGAUGGCAGAAUGACCUACGUUGGGCCAAGUUCCAAAAAUGCAUCAAAAUAUUUGAGAAAUAUUACACUAAGUGAUGAGGGGACACACAGUUGUAUUUUCAUCUUAUUCCCUGAUGGGCCUGUUGAAGCGGAUAUACAGCUAAUCGUAGGAGCUCUCCCAACUGUUAUGAUACAUCCAGUUAUCUCUCUGAUUGACGACAGUGAAUGCCACGUUGUCACCUGUACUGCAGCAUUUGCCAAACCAGCCACCAGUAUCACUUGGGAAGGACCUUUCAUUAUAGAUGCUAAUCAAAGUAUUGGGCCUCCCGCUGUGAAUGGGACUGUGACCGCCUCCAGUCAGUUUCAUCUGUGUCCAAAUAAGUCGCUUCAUGGGCAGAAUAUUUAUUGUGUGGUGGAACACCCAGCCCUCAGCACUUCAAAACGAGUUCCUUAUCGGCUGAAUGUUCACUGUAAUUACAAUUCUGUACUAAUUUGUCGCUAUACCUGUUUACAUGUUUCAGAUAUGUUGCCAGUUUUUAUUAAAUUUCAGAGGACUGAAGAUGGCUAUUUAUGCCUGAUUUGUGCUGCAAAUGCUAACCCAUCUCCUACUGACUACAUCUGGACAAAACAAUGGCUCUAUCCCAGAAAGUGUCAUAAUAGAAAACAAUCAAAUUAAACUGUCCAAGUGGACUCCUGACCUUUAUGGACUUUAUACUUGUGCAGCAAGCAAUGCAGUUGGAACUGCAUUGGGAUCCAUAUAUUUUUUUCCAGAAUCAACUUGAAUAUAAAAUUACUGUGACACAGAUGACAAAUUGAGAACAACCCCUCUCUCACUUCAGCCUGAGAGAUCGAACAACGGUUCUUCUGACAUGCAGCUGCAGUUUACAACCCCCGGUAUUUACAUGCUAUGAUCAGCAGCAACGUCAUUACAUGAUGCCUUUAAUGAUCGUAUUGCUGUUACUCAUAAUUCUGCUCAGCAUUCUCAGCUGUCUUUAUUAUAGAGAAAUAAAGAAGCAUUAACAAAGAAACAUUGAUAAAUAAACACACUCAACAAUAAUGAGACUGCAAUCCUCCCAGCGCAGCCAAAGUGAAAGUUCUCAGGUAAAAACAAAGAUAUACUCAAAGAUAUUUAAGAAACAUGCUCAGUAUUUUCACCUUUAAACACAAUGCUGCUGAGUGUAUCAGAAACUUGGAGAUUCCUUUGCCUUUCGUGUGCUCCCAAUGGUUGGGUGGGGGAGCAGUUGUCAUCUUGACUUGGACAAGCAAACUCCAUUUGCAGACUUUCCUGGAGAUUUCAACCUUCUAAGUUCUUUUUUUUUUCAAAUUUAUCUUUCAAACUUCCACAGUUUCUGAAAAAGAAGCUACAGACUGGAAAGUAGCAAAAAUAACCUUACCAUUUAAGAAGGGGAUGAGAGGGAAACUACAGACCUGUAGUUUGAUGUACAUAAUUGGGAAAAUGUUCAAACCUCUUGAACAGGAUGUGAUACCACCUGACAUAAAAGGCAAAUUAUGUUUGACAAAACUUUUGGAGUUUUAUGAAGAUAUUACUCAAAAUCCAAGAUGGAGAACAGGAGAUAAUAUUGGCUGCAAGAGCUCCUCCUUUUUUGAGGUUUUUUUUCGGUGUUAGAGCUGAUUUCCUCGAUUUCUUGGAACAGUAAUUACUGAUUUAUAAGCUGUUGCUUUGUUUUGGAACUUCGGAAAAAAGAUCAAAACAGCAGUGCUUUAAAACGGGAGGAAAGAGAGAGUGCAAGAAUCAUGUGGGAAGUGACAAAAAAUGGAGCAGUGAAACUUCACAACUGACUGCCUGUGUUAUGCAGUUACAAGCAUCUCAGAACAUCAGAGUUUGGUCUAAGAAAAACGAACAGUGAAAUUCACAGCUGAUCUUGGAGAGAUCUCAGUAUCUCACAGCAGGUUGAAGAAGGGCAAGUGGAGGACAUUGAACCAGAUGUUCAAUCAACAUAAUGACAGAAUCGACUGGAACAGGGCUGAAACUGGAAACAGAGCACCGGUCUGACUGAAAACUGGAGCACACCAAUGUCACAAUCACCUUAACAGCUUUCUGGAGUUUUCUCGAAGUUAUCUUUGAUUUGGAUGUGAACAUGUGUGUGUUAACUAUGGAGUAUAAGUCUAAAUAACCGAGUGCUAAGCCUUCUGUAUGCAAAAGCAUAGUUAUAUGUUUGAAGAGAUUAUAGUUUUUGUUUUUACAUUCCUCAGUGGUUGUUGCAAAGAAACAAAUGUCACAAUUUCACACAAAAUUAGUCACAGAUGAAGAUAAUGAUCAUGGGGUAAGGUGAAUAUUAACUUGAAUUGUUGAGCAUGACUGCGGCAGCACUGGAAGUAUCCAGGGUUAGCAUCAUGUUGACUCUGUGAAUGACCCCAAACAGUUGAGAAAAUUCAAUCAGGAGGUGACAAAUGGGAGAAAGGUUGUGUUCCCCCAAUGUCAGUCAGAUUCUGUCUCUCACAUGCAGGCCAGCUUGAGCUCCGCCAAUCAAGGCUACCUCUUUCCUGAUCUUGUUGCUGUUCCCAAUCUCUUGAUUGGACCUGGGGAGGUGUAGGAAGAUGUGUCUGUUUUGUCCCUAAACACACAGACUUGGAUUGAGAUGGACAGCAAACAGUUAAUAUUAACUAACACUUGAGAAUGUACACAGGGAGCUAUAUCAACAAUUGUACAAUCAGUUAUGCUAUAACGCAUGUUUCUUCAACACAAAUUGGCUUUAAUGCGAUUGAAGAAUUUGUAGAACGUGAACUUUCCUUACCUGUAUUGGCUAUAACACGAUUCUGGCCCCAUUAGUUUAAAUGGCAUGGCUAUUGUGUGAUUUUCUUAUAACCCGAGACCACACGAGAAUGAUGCAAAUAGAGAAUUUCUUAUUGCAGCUGUAUAAGGUGAUGGUGAGGCCACCUCUGGAGUACUGUGACAACAAGGUGCAGGGC